rnacentral:lncRNA from 1 species
UCUUUUUUUUUUUUCCUUUUUUUUUUUUUUUAGCAGAGCAAGAGUUCAGACAGGCUCGCCACAAUCCCAGCUUUCAUUAGGGUGAGGGAUUUUUUUUUUUCUCUCCCCCUUUUUUUUUUUUUUUUUUUUUUUUUUUUUUUUUCCUUUUUUUUUUUUUUUUCCCAGCAGAUGGAGGUAAUAAAAGCCAUCCUUGGGAAAGGAAUGCCUGGAAAACAAUAUGGCAGGCUGGAUGGAUGAAGUAUCCACACAGAAAUUCUUGGAAGAAAAUCAGAGAGAAAUCACGGCAAGAGCAGAAAAAGCUGGAGACAACUUUCCUACUCUUCAUACUCACAAAUGACUAAUUCCAAGGAGAAGAUCGUUGCUGGUCCAAAAUGCCACAGAAGAAGGUGUGGCCCAAGAAUAAUCUCCGUAAUAGAUUUCUGAUACAGCCUUAGGCGGUAACGUGAUACAGUUUGUGAUUCUACUCCUUUUCUGACC